AGAUGUGAGGGCGGGCAAUAUGGCUGUGAUGUCUGUCAUACCAUUAAUCACCAGGGUUGAAUUGGCUGACCUAACUGGCUAGGCGGGUGUCUUCAUCCUCCCUCACCGCUCCAUGUGUGUCCCUCCCAAAGCUGAACCCUCCGUGGAAGAGGAUAGCCUUACCCAGAUAGCAACAGACCAGCCUUCAGUCGAGGGUAUGUGAGUAGCUGCGCUCCCCUGCUAAAACCUCCAAGCAAGCUCUCAAGGCCCAAAAUACAGUAACUGCUUCUCAUUAUUCCCCUUGUGCUCAAAAAUACUUCACCAAGUUGAAAAUCCAAAGGUCGCAAGGAGAUGAGACAGGGGAUAAAGCACAUACUUU
rnacentral:snRNA from 1 species